rnacentral:lncRNA from 1 species
UCAUCUCCAAAGAAUAAGCAGCUGACUCUCCAGUCCCAGAAAGGAAGUCCCUGUGUUUCCUCGCCGGUGUCACUGUGGGCAUCGCCACACGACCGAGUCCCGACGGCUCCCCCACGGCUCUGCCACCCCGGGAGUCAGCUGCGUGAGACCAGAAGCGGAAGGAGAUCAGUUCCGUCAGCUCCAGGAGAGGGGAAGAAAAUAAAAGUUUGACAGGAAUUUAUAAAUACAGC